rnacentral:rRNA from 1 species
GGGGGGGGGGGGGGGGGGGGGUAGGGCAGGCGGGGCGGACGGGGAGGCCCGGCGUGUGGGGGGGGCGCGAGGGGCGAACGGGUGAGGAACACGUGAGUAACCUGCCCUUGACGUUGGGAUAACUUCAGGAAACUGGGGCUAAUACCGGAUAGGAGCUCCUGCGGCAUGGUGGGGGGUGGAAAGUUUCGGCGGUUGGGGAUGGACUCGCGGCUUAUCAGCUUGUUGGUGGGGUAGUGGCUUACCAAGGCUUUGACGGGUAGCCGGCCUGAGAGGGUGACCGGCCACAUUGGGACUGAGAUACGGCCCAGACUCCUACGGGAGGCAGCAGUGGGGAAUAUUGCACAAUGGGCGGAAGCCUGAUGCAGCAACGCCGCGUGCGGGAUGACGGCCUUCGGGUUGUAAACCGCUUUCGCCUGUGACGAAGCGUGAGUGACGGUAAUGGGUAAAGAAGCACCGGCUAACUACGUG